UACAGAGGGUGCAAGCGUUAUUCGGAAUCACUGGGCGUAAAGAGCGCGUAGGCGGUUCAAUAAGUCCGAUGUGAAAUCCCUGGACUCAAUCCAGGAACUGCAUCGGAUACUGUUGAACUUGAGUAUAGGAGAGGAGAGCGGAAUUCCAGGUGUAGAGGUGAAAUUCGUAGAUAUCUGGAGGAACAACAGAAGCGAAGGCGGCUCUCUGGACUAUUACUGACGCUGAGGCGCGAAAGCGUGGGGAGCAAACAGG
rnacentral:rRNA from 1 species